rnacentral:rRNA from 1 species
AACAAGGUUUUGCUAAGCAACAGUCNUUCUGUAGCAGAGCUUAACGGAGACCUUGCGCCAGAAGGCGACUCUAAAUAAUCGGCAGCAAGUCAGUAUUACUGGCGACACAAUCGAACUGCGGGGAAGCUUUAAGGCUAGACGGUACCAACCGCUGGAACUCCCAGCGGGGCUAGCGUGUGCUAGAGGUCAGAACCCGUCGAGAUGUAACAAUAAGCAAUCCGCAGCGGCCUCCCUCGGGGGUCGUCCACAGACUAAGUGGUUGUGGGUAGGGCGAUCGUCCUAUCUAAGAUAUAGUCGGGCCUUGCGAGCGAUCGCAGGGGCUUCUGCGUCCGUAGGUGAACCUGCGGAAGGAUCAUUAAUCAGUGGAUCCGGCGGGGAACCCCCCCGCCGGGUAGACCUCCACCCGUGCUUACCUACUCUUGUUGCUUUGGCGGGCCGUGGCCUCCACUACGGGCUCUGUUCGUACGUGCCCGCCAGAGGACCAAACUCUGAAUUUUAGUGAUGUCUGAGUACUAUUUAAUAGUUAAAACUUUCAACAACGGAUCUCUUGGUUCUGGCAUCGAUGAAGAACGCAGCGAAAUGCGAUAAGUAAUGUGAAUUGCAGAAUUCAGUGAAUCAUCGAAUCUUUGAACGCACAUUGCGCCCUGUGGUAUUCCGCAGGGCAUGCCUGUUCGAGCGUCAUUUAGACCACUCACGCCUAGCGUGGUAUUGGGGCACGCGGUCCCGCGGCCCUCAAAAUCAGUGGCGGUGCCGGUAGGCCCUAAGCGUAGUAAAUCUCCUCGCUAUAGGGUCCUCUCGGUGGCUCGCCAGAACCCCCAACUUCUUAAGGUGACCUCGGAUCA